CGUUAGAACUCACCUCAGGCCGACAUCGCAAUGGUGCCGGCGAAGCGCGCCACGCCGGCAGCGCGCUUCAUUGGCAGUCUAUCUGCCCGGUCUCGCCAUGAGGCCACAGGAACACCAGUCAAC
rnacentral:ncRNA from 1 species